GGGUCUAUAGCCAAGUGGUAAGGCAUGGGACUGCAACUCCCCGAGCGUUGGUUCAAAUCCGACUAGGCCCUCCA
rnacentral:tRNA from 3 species